GUCUAAUUAAAAAUACGACUAUAGUACAUAAUACAUAUUAUAUUUUUAUUACUUACAAAAUCACAAAAAUGUCUUGGAUAAAACGAUUGUCUUGAUGUGUACCAAUAUAUUUAGGACGAAAAAAACAGUUGGAACAGGGUAUUUCUUUAGGUUAUAAUAUAAUUGGAAUAAUUUUUAGUUUUCAAAUUCAUAUACUGUUAUUUUAGUCAAAAUGUUUUGUUGGGGGAACGCAACACACCACGAAUUAUGUAUUGAUGGGCCUGACAAUCUUGAUUUGAUCAUAAAGCCAACAAUUUCGAAAUGGAAGGAGAGUGGUCAUGUACAAUCAAUAGCAGCUGGAGAGUUCCAUUCAUUAUACUUGACCAACAUUGGCCAUCUGUAUUCACGUGGCAACAAUGAUGUUGGCCAGUUGGGGCGGCAUACAAAGGAUGAUGAUGGAAAAUAUCCAGCUCUUGUAGAAACAUUUAAAGGUUGCAAUUUAUCAGCAAUAGCAUGUGGACUGCAGCAUUCAAUGGCAAUUGAUGAAUGGGGUCAACCUUUUAGUUGGGGUUCUGAGAGUAUGGGCCAAUUAGGUAGUAAUCUAGGGGCACAUGCUCAAAAUAAACCUAAAAUUAUUAAAUUACUGGCUACAAAAAGCUUGUGGUUCUUACCAUUCUAUAGCAUUGACAAAUAAAUGCUGCGCGGGGGAGCAUCGCGCGGCUGACUGCACCAGGCCGAGGGAAGUGCCGGCGACCUGUGCCAACUGCGGGGGGCCUCACCCCGCAUGCCAUUCGACUUGCCCGGUGCGCAAGGAGGAGGAGCAGAACCGGCGCGCGGGCACGUUCGCCCGAACGGCGCCGUCUCGCCCCUUGCGCCAACAACGCCGGAACGUUCAAAUACACACUCAACACCCACCCAUGGGCGCACCGCCUGCGGCCGCUCCUUUGGCGUCCGGCGCCGCGCCUGUGGCUGACGAAGAGGGCUUCGUCACGGUGCGACGCCGCACGA